UAAAAUUGCUAUUCAUUUCAUUCUCCGGUUAAUGAAACAAAAAGUACGGUGCAUUGCGAAUUAGAAGGAGGAAAAUUAAAUUAUUUCUAACGAAAAAAUUACUUUAGAUACAGAAAAGCCAACGAAAGUUAUAGUUGAACCUGUACAGACACCUCCAAAAGAAUAUCCAGGCGAAACGGAAGAAGAGAGAGCGAGACGUGAAGAAUUCGAGCUGAAAAGAAAAAUGAAUCGUCAUCAAGAAGCCAUGAAAGUGCAAAUCGCUAAGAAGCUUCUAUCCCAAGAGGAAAACAUCGAAGAGGAACUAGAUAUCAACACGGAAGACGAAACCGUUUCCGAUGCAAGUGAAGACGUACUUGAGAGCACUCAGGACGACGAUAACGACUACUAUUACGCUUCCGCAGACGAUGUCACAGAUGAUGCAGAACAGCAGACGAAUUCCUCGGUGUGAUAGCCAAUAAAUAUGGCAUUUUAUGCGUGUGGAACUCUGCUACAAAUGUUAUGUUUUGUUUUGUUAAUGUUGCCAGGCUGACAGAAAACUCCCUCGUACAUUUUCUUUAAAAGAUUUCAUGGCUAAUACUCUAUUCCACGCUUAAUAUGACUUCCGUAGCUAUUAUUCGCUUCGUACCUUCUGCUAUAAAUGUGUAUGUGUCUUAAAAGCAAAAGGAGCUUGUGAUAAACGUAAUAAUCAUAAAGCAUCGAAAAUGUUUUUAAUUUGCUUUCACAUCAAGGCAGUUUUUAAAGCUUAAAUCGUGGCAUUCAUUCACUGCUCAAAAUUAAAAAAUUGCAAACUGUACACAUGUGUUAAAAUAACUAUUCUAAAUGGUGAUAAACACUUUAUUUCAUAUGCAAAAACAUAAAAAAUAUUUUACUAGUGUCCAUUAUAACUAGUUCAUAUACCCUGAAAAAAAAUUUCACAAAUUAAUUUUUGUAUGCAGAUAUUACAAUGAACGAUAUUUUUAUUCAAAAUUUCCCAUGAAAACAUUUUUACUGCAAGACAAAUCAAUGUGCUGGAAUGAGUAUUUAAAGAAUAUAUGUCAUACAUAUGUAAUUUUAAUUAGGCCAAAUUUAAAUGAAGAAUAAACUUGUAAUACUAGAUCGAUAUCAAUAUAAAUCUAAUUAAAGCAUUUCUGUAGUUAUAUUUAUAGAACUAGAAAUCACUAUUUUUGCAUCAGUUUAUGAACUUCCUUCUUAAUCUACAAACACUUGCACUUUUUUUUUUUUUUUUUCAGAAUAUAAACUUCCCAUUAUGCUAUGAAAAACAAAUAUGCAGGGUAUUUCAUAAAAGAAAGAACCGAAAAAUAAAUGCAUUAAUGUUUUCUGCAUGUCUUGGCAACAAAGUUUUAGUAUACAGCUUAUUAUCAGACCAAGCAAAUUAUUUUCAGGACUUCCAUGUGAAAGAUUUCAAAAUUAAUAAGUUCGAAUGCUGAAUAAAAAUAAGCUUCUGUGUAGAGAUGCCAAUGAAAUAAUGUCUGCAUAGCUACUCAUACAAUAAGUAAUGACUGUUAAUUGUAAUAAACAAAUCAAUGCUGAAAAAUUACACUGUAAUGUGUAUCUUUAAGUCUGCAUAGCUUUCAAUUUAUGUAUAAUAUUAAGAAAUUAACUAAAUGCUUCAAAAGAUGUUUGCAGUUGAUAUGGAUUAGUAGUUGCAAAUGUGUUUCAAAGUGCAUGGCAAUUUACUCAGAUGAUGAUAAAUGAAAUUUCUAAAUCAGUGACUUUGUCUUUACAAAAUGAUUGACUUUUACUAAAAGUUCGCAUAGUAUAAACAUAAUUGUCGUCAAUAAUUAAACUAAAUGUUCAUAUAAAAUUAGCUCUGAAUAUUUACCAUUAAUUAUAUUGAAAAAAAUACAGUUCAUUAAAUAUCAGUUGUUAAUGCAAUUUAAAACUUUUUUAUUUUCAAUACAUUCAUUUAUUAAAUAUCUCAAAAUAUUGUUAUUUUGUAAUUAGUUUAAAGAUUUCAAUAAAUUUCAGUAAAAUGUUUCAACUGAAGGAAAUUAACAUAAAUCCUUAAUUUAGUCCAUUUCUUUCAGGGGCAGGCGAUUUUUAUGAUACCAGUUAUGAAGUCUUUAAUUUUCCAAAUCUGUUUCAAAAGGAAAGAAAAUCAUUGUCUACCUAAAUUUUUAUAACCUUCCCCCCCUCUUCCGUUUAAUGUAAGCAAAUUAUGAAUAGUUCAAUGUACAGUCUAAAGCCAGACAGCAUUUAAUUUAACAACUUACUUCGUAUGUAGAACUAAAUAUACAUUGAUAUCUAAUAAAGUACAGAAAAACAGUGGAAUAAAAAUUUAAUAAAUAUUAUAAAAGUUCAAAAUAAUCAAAUAUUUUUAAAUAACAUAUUCUAAAAUAUGUAUUUUAAUACUAAAGUUAACUUCUAUUUUCUAAUAAUGUAUUGUAUAAAGUGUCCGAAUUUAAAAUUUUUUAAAAAAUUUUUAAUGAACAUAGCAUUAAACAGUAGCUGUAAGACUUUUUCCACAUCAGGAGAGAAAAAAAUGCAGAAUUAAUCCAAAGUAGAACAAUAAAUAUCGCACAUAUUUCGAAUGAACAUCUCUUAAGGAAAAUGUUUUAAGUUUUAACUCAGUUAGGUUUUAUAAUUGAAAAAUUCUACACAGUUUUCUAUUUUAAAAAGUUAUUAUUUUAACCAUUUCUUUUGUAUUAAGCACAUUAUAGAAUAAUAGCAAUGAAACUGCAAGAAAAGCAAAAACUUCUCUCUAAAACAGAUAUUACAAAAGAUUUGUCACAGAAAUGUACAGCAACUGAUCAGCACUCGCUCAUGAUUAAAUUUCCAUCGUCUUUAAUGGGAACGAAUGUAUAUUCGUUAAUUACGAAUAUAUAUUCUUAAUAACAUUGUAUCUGAAUCAUUAUUUGGAAUACCCAGUAAACUUAAAUUACAAAUGCAUUGUGUAUGUAUAUUAGAAUUCCGUAAAAUUUCUAAAUAAAUCUUUUUAUUUAGAAAAGAAAUAUGAUUCAAAGAAUUAUGAAAAUGAUAAGUGAAAGAGUAAUGAAUUAUUAUACAGAUUAUCACUUGUAUUAAAUGAGAACCCAUAACAAAUUGCAAACUUAAAGAAUUUGCACUUCAUUAACUUUGUUUCCAAAGUUAUAAAGGAAACAGUUGAAAACUCCAAGACUUUUGAUUUAUAUAUACAAAGAAAUUAUUUUUCCAGAAAAAAAGAAGUCUGAAAAACUUAAUCAUUAUAUUUCAGUGUGAACUUAAUGUGAAACAGUAAA
rnacentral:lncRNA from 1 species